UACGUAGGGUGCGAGCGUGUCCGGAAUAUUGGGCGUAAAGAGCUUGUAGGCGGUUUGUCGCGUCUGCUGUGAAAACCCGAGGCUCAACCUCGGGCCUGCAGUGGGUACGGGCAGACUAGAGUGCGGUAGGGGAGAUUGGAAUUCCUGGUGUAGCGGUGGAAUGCGCAGAUAUCAGGAGGAACACCAAUGGCGAAGGCAGAUCUCUGGGCCGUAACUGACGCUGGAGGAGCGAAAGCAUGGGGAGCGAACAGG
rnacentral:rRNA from 1 species